CGUAAAGCGCGCGUAGGUGGUUUAUUAAGUUGGAUGUGAAAUCCCCGGGCUCAACCUGGGAACUGCAUCCAAAACUGAUUCACUAGAGUACGAUAGAGGGAGGUAGAAUUCACAGUGUAGCGGUGGAAUGCGUAGAUAUUGUGAAGAAUACCAAUGGCGAAGGCAGCCUCCUGGAUCUGUACUGACACUGAGGUGCGAAAGCGUGGGUAGCGAACAGGAUUAGAUACCCUGGUAGUCCACGCCGUAAACGAUGUCAACUAGCUGUUGGGGAACUAUGUUCUUCAGUGGGGGCAUCUAACGUAGUAAGUUGACCGCCUGGGGAGUACGGCCGCAAGGCUAAAACUCAAAUGAAUUGACGGGGACCCGCACAAGCGGUGGAGCAUGUGGUUUAAUUCGAUGCAACGCGAAAAACCUUACCUAUACUUGACAUACUUGGAAUGGUUUGUAAUGAAGCAGUGCCUUCGGGAGCCAAGAUACAGGUGCUGCAUGGCUGUCGUCAGCUCGUGUCGUGAGAUGUUCCGUUAAGUCGGAUAACGAGCGCAACCCUUACCCUUAUUUGCCAGCGAUUCGGUCGGGAACUAUAAGGGGACUGCCGGUGAUAAACCGGAGGAAGGUGAGGACGACGUCAAGUCAUCAUGG
rnacentral:rRNA from 1 species